rnacentral:tRNA from 1 species
UGGCAUAGUGGUUAAGCACUUGGCUGCUAAUCAAGAGGUCAGUGGUUAGAACCCACC